GAGACACAAGGGCUAAGCUGCAGGUCAGAGAUAACACUAGUGCAGAUCUCCUCAUGCACACAGUUAGUAGCAUGCUUUCUUCCCUCCUGAGUGCAGGAAAUAGCUCAUGUUAAAUACGUUCACUUUUCAGUUUUCCUUUCUUCUAAAACGCAGCUUGACAGAUUGGGCUUUUCAGCCUCCCCCCCCAUUAUUAUUUUUUUUUUUCACCACCUCUGCUUUCUACCUCAGAAAUACUCUUCAGGAAGCGGGAGUUAAUCUUGGUGAGGAAACGAUAAGGUGAUACUUGAUUUUUCAGGGGAAAGCAGAAGGAUAUGACUGCCCGGUAACUGCACAGAAAUUUGCAGGGACGCCUUUUUUUAGGGCUUCCCUUUGCUUUUUCCUUUCUCCUCCUUAGAGCGGAGGACGGCAGGUCUGGCUGGAGGUAGGCGCGAGGGGUUUAAAUAGCAUCGGGGGCAGGAAGGAAGUGCUGGGAAGGUACAUCGAUAAAAGCCGCUUCCCCGCGCUUCUCUAUCAGCUCCCCGGAUCAGGUGAAUCGGGUCGUUCCUUUCCCAACUUUGAUGCAUCCUGGCUGGCACAGAAAUGUGUCUUUGAAGUUGUUUUAUAUUCGGCCAAGUUUUUUACGUGGUUCCAGAAGAAAGAGGGCGAGCAUUGUCUCUGCUAAAUGAUGUCAAGCCGGCAUCCUGUGUACCGAGACAAUGUCGAAGCCUCUAUCUGCUCUUGGCAUUGCUAUUGAGGUUGCCUUGGCCGUUUGAAGUGUUUACGUUAGGGAGGUUUGAACCUGACGGAGAUUUGGGGAGGGGGAUCGCUCUUUAACAACCUGCAACAACGCGUGUGCGCUUGUCGGGUGGUAGCGAGCCUCGGAUCGCCCAACCCGUGUCACCGAGCGCGAGCUUGAUGCCGCACGGAGCCAGGAAUCCUCCCCGACAUGGGUGGAAAUGUGCACGUUUGGGUUGGGCUUCGAGGCGGAGCGGGCCUUUUCCGUGGGAAGAGCCUCGCUGGUGAUGGGGGGCUCUUCUCCCAGCAAGGUGGUGCUCAGCACGAGCAGAGCAGAGCCAGGAUGAGACCCUAUUGUGCAGGCCUGUCCGCAUUAGCGGAUUCCUGUGCCUGUGUUUAGACUUUCAACGACUUAAUUGGGCCUCUGCAGCGAAGGGUUUGCAGCCAAGGGGCCAAGGCUAUUGUUUAUUCCUGUGGCUAUCACCGAGAGCCACGCCGACAGGGAGAAGGACAGACAUAAAUACCGCCUUUGUUGCACUUUGGAUGCUCCUUUUGCUAUCCUGAACGAUUUCAUACUCGCUCUUGAGUGACUUCGGCAGCUUGUCCGAGAGAUGCAUGUUUUCACUUUCCUGAAGAGGAGGAAAGUGGCUAGAAAAUAGGAUGAGAGAACCCAUUUGCAUUAAAUGGCCUGAUGCGUGGCAGGGUGUUGCUAUUCCCUCUUUUCUUCUUUCUGUCCGAGCAGAGGGGCUGUGGCUGCGGCCAGCACCGCUCGGAGCUCGGGGAACGCUUCCCAGCUGCUGCGGCGGGGUUGCAAGUUUUUCCUUGGAAAGCAGUGCUGGGAGCAAUGUGUAUUUUCUCUGCUAAGUCGCGAAUUCAUUAUGAAAUUUAUACGAUGAGAUCUAUGACUCUGCUAAUAUUUCCACAGAGCAGUUUGGCCUUUUCAUUCCAGAGAGGGUUGGACAGGAGCUAAGAAGAUCUGGCUUUUGUUUUCAACUCUUCUACAACUUCCUGUAUGACCUUGGGCAAGUUGCUUAAUCAAGCUGUCUCGAGCUUUCCUUUGUAGUAAUGUUACUUGCAAAUGUUAGAAGAGUCGUGAAUAUGCAUGGUCGAUUUAGUAGGUGAUGUUCAGGUACUAAUUUGAUACCUUGCGGAAGAAAGCAGCCCUGUCAAAAAAGAAAACUGAAGUCUCGGUAUCUCACCUUGGCUUCAAAUGUAGAAUUCAAUGAAAUGCCGACAGCAGCAAGACCCUGGCUGCUCUGAAUCAGGGUUAGGUGCACGGAGUGCCAACCCUGGGCAAGAAUUUUGCUAUCCAAAGGAAUGAAAUAAAUUGUGGAAAGUUACCUAAAUGGGGGUCAGAGAGCGUGUGUAGCAAGAACAUGUAAGACAGGACCUGAAGAAGAGGACAGAGAGGCACCAGGGACAUAGGCGCGAUGUGGUAGGAUAGUGCUGAACUUUGAAUUUCCUCGUAGGAAUGUACCUAUUGCUGGCCCUGCAGGUAGGGGAGAGCAAAGCUUGUGCUCUACAUCCCCUAGGGAAGGGAAGCUCGUCCUAAGAGCUCAGCCUGUACAGUUAAACAUCAUGCUCUAACACAGUGACAAGAGCAGAUGACCCUCGGUUUGGGGAGGGCGAGCAAUUUGCUUAGAAGUGCUGGAAUGUGCACACACACAAAAUAAAAUGUGUGUAUGCUACAGAAAGCUCACACCGCUUUCAUUAAGGCAUUGGACAUCUAAGUACUUGAAGAUCUAUGAUAGGACGUGUUUUUUAAAGUGGCAAAAGUACGUUAAUAAAUUCUAGCGUAUCUAAGAACUCGAUCACAGCCCGGUUUAUAGGGAGUGGUAAUAUCUUUAUUAAGCCAACUGAUAUAGUUGUAGGGGGAAAAACAGACGAGCCCUCUACAGGGCUCUUUGCUGUAAUUAAAAUAGGCUGCCUAUAUCUAGUUAAAUAAUAUGUAAACUCUUAAGGCCAAAUGCUGCAGCUAGUUACUAUUAGUGAGAAACUGUAAACUACAAAAUCCCAAACCAGGAAGUCCCAUGGAGAUAAAAAAAUAUCUAAAGAACAGUCAGAAAUGUGCCCUAUAUUAUUGAUGCUUCAAGCGGUAUUAAGUUGUGAAGGGCUGGAAUGUAAACAAAGUUACAGAUGUCUGAUGCCGUAGGUUGAAUUAGGGAAGCAGGAAAUGCACUCCUUCGCUUGGGAUGUUUGGAAAAAACACCUUCUGCCUGUCUUUAUCUGAAACAGUUUAAGUUUUGUUUAACCUACAAAGUAAUUCGAAGGAGACUAUGCCAGGCAAAGUUGUUUCUUCUAUUUAUAGUGGCAAAAAUAGGAGCUAUGCAAACCAACAGAACGUGGUCCCAGUUCACAGGGAGCUACGGUUUAGAAAAGACCUAGUGAGACAGGGUAAUAGUACUGGUAGGUUGUGUCACAACGGUAAAACUGCAGCUGUACACACAUAUGCUUACUCGGUUUAGGCAUGACUGCAUUUUAGAGAGACAAUUAUUUUAUGUAUCUUUAUAAUGUGAAGUUAAUGAUUAUUUUCCUCCCUCAGGGUGAAGUGCAAAGGAUCAGUUUUUGUUUCCUAGAAGAGGGUGGGAGAACAGCCUCAGUUGGCUACAAACUCUCUGUGGCAUAAAUAAGCUCAGAACCCACCUUUGCAGCUCCAAUGGGAGGAGAAGCGAAUUGUGACAUUGCAGGAGAUCCUUAGCUGGUGAAAUACUAAAUGGAGUCUGCCACUCAAGCUGCUUUUGAGUGAGUAGCCAAAGGACUCAUCUGGUAAGCCAAGUUGCUGUUUCCAAACCAAGGCAAAAAGAUGAAAGGAUAUCGCUUUCUGGACCCCACGCUACUGCCCACACUACAGUUACAGUCAAGGCCUUUGCUCUGACUCACUUUCCAGCUGACCCUUCUGGGAGGAAGGAGAAAGUCUUGAGCUGUGUCCCAUCCCCCAGCAGCAGUGACGGGCAUCGCACACUGGCAGCGUCGGGUUGGCAUGGUUUGUGCAAAGCCAUCCCAGCUCUGGCGAUGCCUCAGCCAGAUGCAAUGAUGAGGGUGGGCUGGUGUGUUAUGGGGGGAGCCCCAGGCACUGUGGCCUUUCCAAACUCUUGAUGCUCUGGAGUUCUGGCUGCCUGGGACAUUUGCCUGAUGUGGUAGGUAUGCAGUCAAGAUAGUGUUCCAGUAAAGCUUACACAAUUGAAACAAAAAUGCCUUAUGCUUGAAACAGGCUAGCUCUAUCAGUAGGGUAUCUCCAGCACCCUCAAACCACAUAUUUCUUGUUUGCAACCUUGAUGUUUUCUCCUUUUCCUUGUUAACUUAACCUCCUCACCUACUGAGCAGUAUACACAGACCUUCACCAGGUUUCCCUUCCUUGGCACUAGCUGAGGUGCUGGCUAGACCAGACUGUUCCUUGGGAGGAUGCAGACAGUCUGAUCUCUAGAGAAACUCUCCAGAAUUACCCACCUAGCUUGACUUUAUGCCUUGACACAUCUGUGAGUCAACGUGGUGGUGAUACAUUCUGCCAGAUGCUUCCAACAAAGAGUUGCCCUGACCCGGAGGUUUUGGUAGUCAUCUUUCUGACAUAGACCUUGGCCAGCUUUCCAUAGGGCAGUCCCAUGGAGAUUGCGUAUGAGCCAGUAUGAAGCACUCACACUUUUAAACUGGUUCUCUCACCGCUAAUGCUUAUUCUGUCUGGGAUGUCUCAGGCCAUGGUGAUUUCAUGCUGUCGUUUCCAUAGUUAGACAGUGUUUGCAUCCGAGUGCACUACCCCUCCAACUGUUUGCGAGGAUGUGGGUGUCUGGUGUUCCCUAUAUCAGCCCCUUGCACCUUAGGUUCUCAGCCAAGCCAGUCAUCCUCAUUAAUAGAGGGCUGGAUUUCUGUGGUGAGACAUUGAGGUUAGUUGUCACAGGGUGCAGCUCGGCGAUAAGGACGUGAUGUCUGCUGCGUCGGAGGACUGGUAGUGAAAGCUCAAACCAAGUCCAGCCUGGACGCGUGAAAAGGCCGCCGGAGGACUCGCCAUCCCAGGCCCCUCCACGGUUGGGGGGUAUAUCUGGCUCGCGAGGGCACGUUGUCUGGCGUGGCAGCCAUCCCCGCCGGAAACCCCUGCUUUAAAAGAAGGACUCGCUGGGGCGAAAGGAGUGGGUUUCCUACUCCGUCGGAUCAAAGCGAAACCUCCCGGCCCGGCCGGCACACAGGUUUCCUCCCGCUCCCAGGUUCAUGCCGCGUGUCCGGGCUGGGCGUCCAGCUCAGCCGCCCCCCAGGAUGCCAUGUGUGCUCUCUGCUACCUCGGGAUCUCCUUUUUAUUAUUAUUUUUUUUAAAUUUAAAAAUAAUUUGGUGGUGCUCUAGCUGAGUUAUCUGCUGUCACUGCAAUAUACGCUGCGUGUCGGACUCCCACAGCCGAAAGCCUCUGUUUCCUUUCUGCCAGUACCUUGGUAUCUGCCUUGCCCAGGAGCCUGCUGAUGAAGAUUUCCUGUUUGUUUUGAGUCACUGCUGGAGUGAUAAAUAUACUUCGGCUCUCUCCUCCGAGAGGAAAGAAACCAGCUGCCCCGAACUAAAGGGAAAAAUAUGUCGAAAUUCCACCAAAGGGCCCUGUUAUCACGAGGCUUCCAUGGAAGGAUGAAACUGGGUAACAGGAGCUAUGACAAAGGCGUGAUUUCCAUAUUAAAAAUGUCCCUCUGCGGGCGGGGUUUGCCUUUAAUUGCCUGCUUUCACUCCAUAACUUUAAUUUUUAAAACAGAGAUGGGGCCCAACCCAAAACCUUGGAUCUAAACCCAAGAUCCAGGUUCAGAUCUGAGUUCAGAGCUCCAACCUCAUUCCUGAAGAAGCAGAGUCAGGCCGGCGAGCUCCAGCACGUGUUACAUCUGAAUUUCCCAGUCCAGGUUCGGGGGUGUUCGACUCUCAGGAGUUACUUUUGCCGGGUGGAACGGUGCAAGCGGUGGUGGCCUUGGGGCUUUGGGGUACCUCCAGCCCUGCAGAGGAGCCAGGUGGGGUGGCAGGGGUCAAAAAAGUGUUGUAGCAAAUCAGGAGAGCUGUAGGUCAGUGACAUUAAAAAAUACUCAUUAAAGGUAUCCUGGAGCCAGCUUUGGUCCCAUCCAAACCCAUGCAAGGCAAACGCUGGGCUGCUCUGGAGCGAACGAUAGCUUUUGGGAGGUGACAGCCUCUUGCCAUGGCUUGGAGGAACGUCCCCUUCCAAAAAAGGAUUAGGGGGGGAUUUUUUGUGUGUGAAAUUGCUUCUAAAGGUACUGGUUUGGGCCUCAGAAAAAAGGCACAGGACAAGACUUAGCUUUCGGUAGAUGUUUGAACUGCUGGUUAUGGGGAAAAAAAAUGUUUUUCCUACAGUUUUUGAUAUAUUUCUCCUUUUUUUAAUGGAAACUCCAUAAGCGAUGGCAAACAAUGUAUGUUUUUCUCUACUCACCGGCACAUUCCCCAUCCAAUAAACUAAUCGGGCUCUCUCCUUUAUAUCACUGAGUGAAAUCACAUGGAACAAAAAUAAUCAUAUUUAAGCAGUUUGAAGUGUAUUUUUUUCCAUGGUUUACCUUUACCAUCUCCCAGUAAAAUAUAAUUUCUUCUUUAACAGCAGAUGAAAAAAACCAUUAUAACUUUAAAGCAUGAGAUUAUAAAAGACUGCAGCUAGUUUAGAUCUCACAGUUAGAAGUUAAUUCUAAGUCACUGGAAUUGAAAACAUCAGUUUACAACAUUUACUGGCUUGCUAUAAAAAUGUAUUCCCCUGUGUUAUGUUAAACAUGAGAAACUACACCUCGGUGUGUCCAUUAUUUAUAUAUUUAUUCAUAUCUUGCUGUUUCUGAUUCAGCUGUGUAACUGUAUGCAAAACAGAUAAUUACUGGGGAACAGAAUAAUUUGUAUUUUGAGGGGAAUAAAUACCCUGAAGGA